AACGGCGAGUGAAGCGGCAAGAGCUCAAAUUUGAAAUCUGGCCUCCUCCGGGGKCCCGAGUUGUAAUUUGCAGAGGAUGCUUCGGGUGCGGCCGCCGUCUAAGUUCCUUGGAACAGGACGUCAGAGAGGGUGAGAAUCCCGUCUUGGGCGGGCGGUCCGCGCCCGUGUGAAGCUCCUUCGACGAGUCGAGUUGUUUGGGAAUGCAGCUCUAAGCGGGUGGUAAAUUUCAUCUAAAGCUAAAUAUUGGCCGGAGACCGAUAGCGCACAAGUAGAGUGAUCGAAAGGUUAAAAGCACCUUGAAAAGGGAGUUAAACAGCACGUGAAAUUGUUGAAAGGGAAGCGCUUGCGGCCAGAUUCGGGGGCGGGGUUCAGCGGGUGCUCGUCGCCCGUGUAUUCCUCGUCUCCCGGGCCAGCAUCAGUUUCGACGGCCGGUCAAAGGCCCCCGGAAUGUGUCGUCUCUYGGGACGUCUUAUAGCCSGGGGUGCAAUGCGGCCCGUCGGGACUGAGGAACGCGCUCCGGCUCGGAUGCUGGCGUAAUGGCCGUAAGCGGCCCGUCUUGAAACACGGACCAAGGAGUCUAACAUCCACGCGAGUGUUCGGGUGUCAAACCCGUGCGCGCAGUGAAAGCGAACGGAGGUGGGAGCCCUAGGGCGCACCAUCGACCGAUCCUGAAGUCUUCGGAUGGAUUUGAGUAGGAGCGUGGCCGUUGGGACCCGAAAGAUGGUGAACUAUGCCUGAAUAGGGUGAAGCCAGAGGAAACUCUGGUGGAGGCUCGCAGCGGUACUGACGUGCAAAUCGAUCGUCAAAUUU
rnacentral:rRNA from 1 species